rnacentral:rRNA from 1 species
GACGAACGCUGGCGGCGUGCUUAACACAUGCAAGUCGAACGGAAAGGCCCUGCUUUUGUGGGGUGCUCGAGUGGCGAACGGGUGAGUAACACGUGAGUAACCUGCCCUUGACUUUGGGAUAACUUCAGGAAACUGGGGCUAAUACCGGAUAGGAGCUCCUGCUGCAUGGUGGGGGUUGGAAAGUUUCGGCGGUUGGGGAUAGACUCGCGGCUUAUCAGCUUGUUGGUGGGGUAGUGGCUUACCAAGGCUUUGACGGGUAGCCGGCCUGAGAGGGUGACCGGCCACAUUGGGACUGAGAUACGGCCCAGACUCCUACGGGAGGCAGCAGUGGGGAAUAUUGCACAAUGGGCGGAAGCCUGAUGCAGCAACGCCGCGUGCGGGAUGACGGCCUUCGGGUUGUAAACCGCUUUCGCCUGUGAUGAAGCGUGAGUGACGGUAAUGGGUAAAGAAGCACCGGCUAACUACGUG